rnacentral:rRNA from 1 species
UACGGAGGGUGCGAGCGUUGUCCGGAAUCACUGGGCGUAAAGGGCGCGUAGGCGGCCUGAUAAGUAGGGGGUGAAAUCCUGCGGCUUAACCGCAGGGCUGCCUUCUAAACUGUCAGGCUGGAGCACAGUAGAGGCAGGUGGAAUUCCCGGUGUAGCGGUGGAAUGCGUAGAGAUCGGGAAGAACAUCAGUGGCGAAGGCGGCCUGCUGGGCUAUGGCUGACACUGACGCUGAGGCGCGAAAGCUAGGGGAGCGAACGGG